rnacentral:misc_RNA from 1 species
AAGUCGUAACAAGGUUUCCGUAGGUGAACCUGCGGAAGGAUCAUUACUGAGUGGCUGUAUUCGUGAUUCUCUUCGGAGAGGCGAAGCUACCCGACCUGAUGUCAUUCUAUCCGAGGGCGCGUCCGCAUGAGACAGCGGUUCGACGUUGGAGUUACCCGGACGAGGCGCUUGUCUCGAAAGGGGAAGCUCCGGGUCGGGCCGUGGCGCGCCUCUCGGCACAACCUUCCGCGGAAGUGGUAGGCGUUGACCUGCCCGCCGCGGGCCGUAUUUUCUACAACUCUUGAAGAAAACCUGAAGUCUGAAUAUCAAAACAAAAUGAAAAGCAAAACUUUCAACAACGGAUCUCUUGGCUCUG